CUUAAGAAGAAGAUACUCUCCUUAUUUUCCAAGCACAUAUCUGAUGAUUCCAUGUGGAAUUCAACUACUCUGAGUUUUCUGGGA
ensembl:snoRNA